UCUCCGUUGGUGAACCAGCGGAGGGAUCAUUACAGAGUUUUCACAACUCCCAACCCUUGCGAACCGUACCCAUUCUGUUCUCGUUGCUUCCGGCGGCCCUACGAACCUUUAUAUCUCAACCACCAGAAACCGUCUGAGAAAACAAACAAAAUAAUCAAAACUUUCAACAACGGAUCUCUUGGCUCUG
rnacentral:misc_RNA from 1 species